GGAAUAGGUAGAGGCGCACUCACGAAGAGUAUGUUCUGACAGGAUACCAGUCCGCAAGAAAUGCAGAGCAAAAAGGCGUGCGUGCCGAAGAGGCUGUACCGGUGACACAGCUUCUGGGCAUAUUUCCGAAGAGGGGUAUGACUGUCAUCGUUAUGAUGGAGUGCUAUCGGCGAU
rnacentral:ncRNA from 2 species